rnacentral:rRNA from 1 species
GUCGAGGGGCAGCGGGGGUGAUGGCUUGCCAUCGCCUGCCGGCGACCGGCGCACGGGUGAGUAACACGUAUGCAACCUGCCCGCCACAGGGGGAUAAGCGGAAGAAAUUCCGUCUAAUACCGCGUGACGCGGCGCCGGGGCAUCCCGGUGCCGCCAAAGGGAUUACCGGUGGCGGAUGGGCAUGCGGCGCAUUAGCUAGUCGGCGGGGUAACGGCCCACCGAGGCGACGAUGCGUAGGGGUUCUGAGAGGAAGGUCCCCCACACUGGUACUGAGACACGGACCAGACUCCUACGGGAGGCAGCAGUGAGGAAUAUUGGUCAAUGGGCGGGAGCCUGAACCAGCCAAGUCGCGUGAGGGAUGACGGUCCUACGGAUUGUAAACCUCUUUUGCCGGGGAGCAAGCGUGCGUUCGUGAACGCACGUCGAGAGUACCCGGAGAAAAAGCAUCGGCUAACUCCGUGCCAGCAGCCGCGGUAAUACGGAGGAUGCGAGCGUUAUCCGGAUUUAUUGGGUUUAAAGGGUGCGUAGGCGGGAUGCCAAGUCAGCGGUAAAAAUGCGGUGCUCAACGCCGUCGAGCCGUUGAAACUGGCGUUCUUGAGUGGGCGAGAAGUAUGCGGAAUGCGUGGUGUAGCGGUGAAAUGCAUAGAUAUCACGCAGAACUCCGAUUGCGAAGGCAGCAUACCGGCGCCCUACUGACGCUGAGGCACGAAAGCGUGGGUAUCGAACAGGAUUAGAUACCCUGGUAGUCCACGCAGUAAACGAUGAAUGCUAACUGUCCGGUGCGAGUGAGCGCU